rnacentral:rRNA from 1 species
GUGGGGAAUAUUGGACAAUGGGGGCAACCCUGAUCCAGCAAUGCCGCGUGUGUGAAGAAGGUCUUCGGAUCGUAAAGCACUUUCGACGGGGACGAUGAUGACGGUACCCGUAGAAGAAGCCCCGGCUAGCUUCGUGCCAGCAGCCGCGGUAAUACGAAGGGGGCUAGCGUUGCUCGGAAUUACUGGGCGUAAAGGGCGCGUAGGCGGCUCUGUUAGUCAGGCGUGAAAUUCCUGGGCUUAACCUGGGGACUGCGCUUGAUACUGCGGAGCUUGAGGCCGAGAGAGGGUGGUGGAAUUCCCAGUGUAGAGGUGAAAUUCGUAGAUAUUGGAAGAACACCGGUGGCGAAGGCGACCACCUGGCUCGGUACUGACGCUGAGGCGCGACAGCGUGGGGAGCAAACAGGAUUAGAUACCCUAGUAGUCC